rnacentral:rRNA from 1 species
AGAACCUUACCAUCCUUUGACAUGGCGUGUUACCCAGAGAGAUUUGGGGUCCUCUUCGGAGGCGCGCACACAGGUGCUGCAUGGCUGUCGUCAGCUCGUGUCGUGAGAUGUUGGGUUAAGUCCCGCAACGAGCGCAACCCACGUCCUUAGUUGCCAUCAUUCAGUUGGGCACUCUAGGGAGACUGCCGGUGAUAAGCCGCGAGGAAGGUGUGGAUGACGUCAAGUCCUCAUGGCCCUUACGGGAUGGGCUACACACGUGCUACAAUGGCGGUGACAGUGGGACGCGAAGGGGCGACCUGGAGCAAAUCCCCAAAAGCCGUCUCAGUUCGGAUUGCACUCUGCAACUCGGGUGCAUGAAGGCGGAAUCGCUAGUAAUCGUGGAUCAGCAUGCCACGGUGAAUACGUUCCCGGGCCUUGUCACACCGA